rnacentral:lncRNA from 1 species
ACUAGCAACUUUCAGAUCUAGCAAAUCGGUAACGUAAUCGACAAGAAUACGAAGGGUUUUAUUCAAAACUUGAUCAAAACACUUAGAUCUACCAAUUUUAAAGCACGGAAUAAUAGAUCUAACAGUCCUGAAAGUGAAAUCGAUCAGAUCUAGUGAGAAACAACACAAAAGAACUGAUUGAUCAAUGAUAUAACACGAUAUAGAACAUAUCUUAUGAAAACACAAAAGAGAAAUCGAAACUCCCCUUCUAGAGUGCUCUGAUACCACUUAAUGAGCUCCUAGGAUGCUUCUCUGGAUGGAUUUGGAUAGAUCCUUGCAUAAACGAAUCAAAGACUCAAGUUUAUCAAGGUUUGUGGAUCGAUUGGUGACACAAGAGGCUGCGGAAAGGCUCCUUGAUACUCCUAGGCAAUAGACCGGAUAUUACACACCAGACUAAGGCCCUUAACACUGGAUAUUACACACCAGCAGACUGGAUAUUACACACUAGACACUUCAACAACUCACUAAGCAAGAGAGAAGACAAAAGAUAACUUAUAUU